UUUGUCAGCCUGCACUCUCUUUAUGGUCAAGCCUUUUGGGGCUGACCCACCCCACAACCACCUGUACUGGGGAAGAAAAUGAGUCCUUAACACGUUAAAGGGCAGGCUAGCAUGUUUGUCUUUCUAGCAGAUUACUGAACCUAAAGAGAGAAAUCUUAAAAAUAACAGUUGCCACCAUCAAAGGCAAACUACUAGGCUGGCUGGAUCGUUGUUGUAAGAAAGUUUUGCAUUUUUUUUUUUUUAAUGUUCUCACAACAACGGUAUGACCUGGGAUAGAAUUGGAUCUGAGGCACAGCCACGUGCCUGGCUUUCGUCUGCAGAGCCUGGAGCUGGGUCCUGCCCAAAUACAUGGGACGGGAAAGAUGCAGGCCUGGCCUUGAAGAGGCUUGGUGAUUCCUGAGCAGCAGAUGGUGAGCCAGCCCUCCCGAGAGUAAAAACAAACCAUCGCGGUGGAGGGUUAUUCUGGAAACCCAACUGGCAACGAUAGUUCCAGAGCCCUUGGAGAAUGCUUUUGGAGAUGGGCAGAAGAGAAGUCAGUAGGAUCCCAGGCCUCCACCCUGCUGCAGCUCUACUUCUAGAAGUUUUACAAAUUGGGCUUCCUUGUGAAAUUUAUUUUAUGUAAAACUCCUUGUGAAGGGGUUCUACUGCUUAAAAACUCAUUUUAAAAACUGUCUGUAAGACUGCUGAAUCACAGACCUGUACCUCUGAAACAAAUAAUGCAUUAUAUGUUCAAAAAAAAAAGAAGAUA